GACGAACGCUGGCGGCGUGCCUAAUACAUGCAAGUCGAACGCAGUGGGGACGGGUGAGUAACACGUGGGUAACCUCCCAUCAGAGGGGAUAACACUUGGAAACAGGUGCUAAACCGAUACUGAUGGAUGAACCCGCGGUGCAUUAGCUAGUUGGUGAGGUAACGGCUCACCAAGGCCACGAUGCAUAGCCGACCGGCGAGGGUGAUCGGCCACACUGGGACGGAGACACGGCCCAGACUCCUAAGGGAGGCAGCAGUAGGGAAACUUCGGGAAUGGACGAAAGUCUGAUCGAGCAACGCCGCGUGAGUGAAGAAGGUUUUCGGAUCGUAAGACUCUGUUGUUAGAGAAUCGGUAUCUAACCAGAAAGCCACGGCUAACUACGUGCCAGCAGCCGCGGUAAUUC
rnacentral:rRNA from 1 species